UACGAAGGGGACUAGCGUUGUUCGGAAUUACUGGGCGUAAAGCGCGCGUAGGCGGAUCGCUAAGUCAGGGGUGGAAUCCCAGGGCUCAACCCUGGAACUGCCUUUGAUACUGACGAUCUGGAGAUCGGGAGAGGUUGGUGGAAUUCCGAGUGUAGAGGUGAAAUUCGUAGAUAUUCGGAGGAACACCAGAAGCGAAGGCGGCCAACUGGCCCGAUACUGACGCUGAGGCGCGAAAGCGUGGGGAGCAAACAGG
rnacentral:rRNA from 1 species